rnacentral:rRNA from 1 species
UACGUAGGGGGCAAGCGUUGUCCGGAUUUAUUGGGCGUAAAGAGCGUGUAGGCGGCCAGACAGGUCCGUUGUGAAAACUCGAGGCUCAACCUCGAGAUGUCGAUGGAAACCGUCUGGCUAGAGUCCGGAAGAGGAGUGUGGAAUUCCUGGUGUAGCGGUGAAAUGCGCAGAUAUCAGGAAGAACACCUAUGGCGAAGGCAGUACUCUGGGACGGUACUGACGCUGAGACGCGAAAGCGUGGGGAGCAAACAGG